rnacentral:rRNA from 1 species
UGGGGAAUAUUGGACAAUGGGCGGAAGCCUGAUCCAGCCAUGCCGCGUGUGUGAAGAAGGCCCUUUGGUUGUAAAGCACUUUAAGCGAGGAGGAGGCUACUUGGAUUAAUACUCUAGGAUAGUGGACGUUACUCGCAGAAUAAGCACCGGCUAACUCUGUGCCAGCAGCCGCGGUAAUACAGAGGGUGCGAGCGUUAAUCGGAUUUACUGGGCGUAAAGCGUGCGUAGGCGGCUUCUUAAGUCGGAUGUGAAAUCCCUGAGCUUAACUUAGGAAUUGCAUUCGAUACUGGGAAGCUAGAGUAUGGGAGAGGAUGGUAGAAUUCCAGGUGUAGCGGUGAAAUGCGUAGAGAUCUGGAGGAAUACCGAUGGCGAAGGCAGCCAUCUGGCCUAAUACUGACGCUGAGGUACGAAAGCAUGGGGAGCAAACAGG